rnacentral:misc_RNA from 1 species
ACCACCAGAACCUUCAGUCAACCUUUGAUAAAGAGCAUUACAUUUUCCAUGAAGGUCUUCAAAUAUCCUGUCACACUUGAUCCUACAGACCAAUUCAAGAAUCUGUGAGAUGACCUGUGACUCCAAGCAAGCUAUUCCUCUAGCAUCAAUGACCUUCAUUAGCCCAUCUAUACAAUUCACAACUCCUGCAACAUUAAGAAUAGAUGAAAG